GGCCACGCUAGGCCGGCCCCUGGUCGGCCCAGAGAAGAUGGCCUUCCUGUCUUCGGAUGCGCGGAGCUUGGCCGGGUCCGCGGAAGACGUGCAGUCCAGCGCAAGCACCCUGCGGACAGAUCGGCGAGACGGUGGAGUUGGCUGGAUGUGGGUGUCGGUGACAGUUGGUGAAUCCCAUUUUCCUGAUCCGUGAUGCCCUGCCUGUGAGGCGAGGACGCCCCUGCAGAGACAGAGUGUGUAGAGUGCGGCCACCUGGGAGUCGCCCACAUCUGCAGUGGAGUUGGCUGGACGCGGGUGUUGGUGACUGUUGGUGAAUCCCAUUUUCCUGAUCUGCGAUGCCCUACCUGUGUGGCGAGGACACCCCUGCAGAGACAGAGUGUGUAGAGUGCGGCCACCUGGGAGUCGCCCACAUCUGCAUCCCAGGUGGAGUUGACUGGAUGCGAGUGUUGGUGACAGUUGGUGAAUCCCAUUUUCCUGAUCCGCGAUGCCCUGCCUGUGAGGCGAGGACACCCCUGCAGAGGCAGGGUGUGUAGGCUGCCGUCACCUGGGAGUCACCCACACCUGCGGCCAAUGGAAACUCAAAUCUUGGUUUAUUAAGAAUAAAAAAUGAUCCCUCCCUCUUGAAAUGUGAAAAAGAAGAAAAUAUUGAGAAUAAUCAUCCCAUCUCAUCCUCAAGAGCCAGCUGGAAUUCUACCGCCAGAACGACAUGGCAACUCUUUGAGUGCUGGGCUGGCAACCUCCAUACAUUCAUAGUAACUGAACCCUGGAGAACCAACAUGUGAAGAGACAGACAAAUAGUAAAUGAUUAUGCCUACCUUUGAUCCAUUCACACAUUUCUCUUACAAGCCAAAAUCUUUAGAAUGAAGAGCAAUUGACAGAUCAACUAGAUAAUCAAGACCUAUCUUGAAAGAAGUUUCUGUGUCUGACAUCGAAGAGGUUACUGCCUAUGUUUCUUUUGAGACAUGAAAUGAAGGAAAGUUUGGGAGGAAUUCUGCAUCCCUCAAGGGCCAGUGGGAAUUUUUAUGCUGGAUUUUUAUGACUUCUCUAUUUGAAUAAUAGCAGAAACAUCCUAGUAAAGUAAUAUGAGUUCAUUUGAUAUGAAGGUUGGAAGUAAGAUGGCAGUUGCAUGGAAUUCUUGCCACUUCACCAAAGAAUACUUGAUUUUGUCACUUUUACCAACUCCCUUAUCUGAAAAGAAACAAUGAUGCACUCUUAAGAUAAUGAUGGAUGCAUAUGCCAUUUCCAGAGAGUGAGAUGACAAAUUAUUUUUAAGUCAGUGGUUCUCCAUUGCUACCUGUCGCCUUUUGGACGCCCUUGCAGAUUACUUCUUGGGAACUCUUGGGUAUGAGUGAUACCAGUAAAUCUCUGAAACAAGACUCUUCAGACAAGGAGACUGUGGUCUGAGGACCACGCUUUGAAGGUGGUGACCACCAAUAUGAGGUCGAUUUGUUAUUGUGGGUGCCAUUACUUCUACCACCAACUGCACCAAAACAAUGAUACACUCUUCUUUAUGCUUGGCGAUUCCUCUCUUUCCCGUGUUGCAGUGGACACCUCCUGCAGAUAAGAAAUGCUUAACUGAGAAAUGCUCAUGUUGGGAUAUCAUCGAUGAGACUUUAAUUUGGGCAUGGUGACUGUUUCCCUUGCUGCCACUUGACUCAAUCCCAGGAGCCUCAGUAGAGGAAAUAUUAUUAUACAAGAAACUCAAAAUGGUGGAAUUUCUCAGUGCUCCCAUAAAUAUACAUUUAUAAUUUCCAUUUACCAUAUGGUAAAAAUUUUAAAUAGGAUAUAUUAAAAUAAACUGCACAAUUUUUUUUCAAAAAUCCAAAGCAUAUUUAAAUAUCUAAUAUAUAAAAUAUGUGCCCUCCUCUCUGCCAGUUCUCUCCCUCAGAGUUUUCUUCUCUUAAGAGUUGUGUGCAUUCUUUAAGUGGAUAGAUGCACACACACAGACACACAUAUACACAAACUAUUUAGAGGGGUUCUGGAAGUGGGGCCAUACUGUACACAUUCUUCUGCAAAUUGCCUUUCAUUUUACAGUUUUAAUACCAUUUUCUAUUUCAAUAAUAUACAUCUGUGUCAUUUGUUGAAUGACUGCAUGACUGUUUUGUAGAUGAAAUAUAAUUAAAUGUUAUAAGACUUUCUCAUCCAUAGAUAUUUGUUAGCACAAAAUUUUUGUGCAGUGAACCUCCCUAUCAAUAAUUUUGCAUUUGUUUCUUAUAUCAUAAUAAAUUACUUAGCAGUUGAAAUACUGGGAUUAUGCACAUUUAAAAUUAUUACAAGAUUUCCUUAAAAUGUGGUAACAACUUUAUCUUCAAAUGGCAAUGAAUGAGAUUGCCAGCUUUCCCACAACUACACAGAUAAUGGAUUUUAUAAAUAUUUAAACUUUUUGCAAAUGUGAUAGCCCAAACUAUUGUCUUAAAUUGUAUUUCUUUUGUUUUUGAGUUUGAUCAUUUUUUCAUAUGUUUAUUAGCCAUUUGUAUUCUUUAAUUUCCUCUUUAUGUCCAAUUUGGGGGUGGAGGUUUAAUCUUCUAAUUUUGAAGAGCUCAUUUAUUAUUGAAGAAAAAAGGUUUGGAUUGUUAAGCUUUACAGAUAUUUUUUAUGCACUUUUAAACUUUAUUUUUGUUAUAAGAAUGUGUAUGAUUGUUAUAUGUCCAAGUAUAACCAUGUUUGCUUUAAUGGCUUAUGAGUUUCAUGACAUUUUGGAAAAAUAUUUAUACUGAUUUCAUAAAACCGUUCACCUAUGUUAACUUUUAUUCUUUUGUCUUUCUUUUAUUCAAAUUCUUAAAUCAUGAGAAAUUUUUUUGAUUUGAAAUCUUAAAGUUGCCAAGUUAUUUGCCAUUACUUGCGAUUAUUUGCCAAUAAUUGCCCAUUUAUCUGUGAUGCCAUCUUGCACACGUGCUGUAUUCUCAUCUGUGACUGGCACCAUUUUUGUUCUGUGGAUCUGUGUGUCUCUUCUUCUGCCUCCUGUUUCAUGUGUCUUCUCGUUGAAAGAAAUUACAGUUUAGACUGCAAUUUCAUCAACUUUAAUAAAUUAAUUUAGGGGAGAAUUUGGUUUUUAAUAAUAUAAGUCUUCCUACCCAAGAAUAAGGUAUGUCUUUCUUUUUAUUAAACAAUUUUAAUUACUGUUAAUAUUUUCACUUUGUGAUGGGGGGUUUAUUUUCUCCCUUGAUAUUUUUUCUACAUCUCAAAGUUUUGCUUUGGGGGGUAAGUGCUCACCUUACUCUUUCUCAUGACAUUUCAGAUUUUUCCAAAAUACAUACCAAAACCUUUGCAAAUGCU